AGUCGAGGGGCAGCAUGGUCUUAGCUUGCUAAGGCUGAUGGCGACCGGCGCACGGGUGAGUAACACGUAUCCAACCUGCCGUCUACUCUUGGCCAGCCCUCUGAAAGGAAGAUUAAUCCAGGAUGGGAUCAUGAGUUCACAUGUCCGCAUGAUUAAAGGUAUUUUCCGGUAGACGAUGGGGAUGCGUUCCAUUAGAUAGUAGGCGGGGUAACGGCCCACCUAGUCAACGAUGGAUAGGGGUUCUGAGAGGAAGGUCCCCCACAUUGGAACUGAGACACGGUCCAAACUCCUACGGGAGGCAGCAGUGAGGAAUAUUGGUCAAUGGGCGAUGGCCUGAACCAGCCAAGUAGCGUGAAGGAUGACUGCCCUAUGGGUUGUAAACUUCUUUUAUAAAGGAAUAAAGUCGGGUAUGCAUACCCGUUUGCAUGUACUUUAUGAAUAAGGAUCGGCUAACUCCGUGCCAGCAGCCGCGGUAAUACGGAGGAUCCGAGCGUUAUCCGGAUUUAUUGGGUUUAAAGGGAGCGUAGAUGGAUGUUUAAGUCAGUUGUGAAAGUUUGCGGCUCAACCGUAAAAUUGCAGUUGAUACUGGAUGUCUUGAGUGCAGUU
rnacentral:rRNA from 1 species